UACGUAGGGUGCGAGCGUUAAUCGGAAUUACUGGGCGUAAAGCGUGCGCAGGCGGUUCGCCAAGUCAGGUGUGAAAUCCCCGGGCUCAACCUGGGAAUGGCGAUGGAAACUGGCGAGCUAGAGUACGGUAGAGGAGAGUGGAAUUCCCGGUGUAGCAGUGAAAUGCGUAGAGAUCGGGAGGAACAUCAGUUGCGAAGGCGGCUCUCUGGACCAGUACUGACGCUGAGGCACGAAAGCGUGGGGAGCAAACAGG
rnacentral:rRNA from 1 species